rnacentral:pre_miRNA from 1 species
AGGACGGGAAGGUGUCAAGGUUUUGAAUUAAAUUAAACAUUGCACUUGUCCCGGCCUAU